AUUGAACGCUGGCGGCAUGCCUUACACAUGCAAGUCGAACGGCAGCACGGGUGCUUGCACCUGGUGGCGAGUGGCGAACGGGUGAGUAAUACAUCGGAACGUACCUUAUCGUGGGGGAUAACGCAGCGAAAGCUGUGCUAAUACCGCAUACGCCCUGAGGGGGAAAGCGGGGGAUCGAAAGACCUCGCGCGAUUAGAGCGGCCGAUGCCUGAUUAGCUUGUUGGUGGGGUAAAAGCCCACCAAGGCGACGAUCAGUAGCUGGUCUGAGAGGACGAUCAGCCACACUGGGACUGAGACACGGCCCAGACUCCUACGGGAGGCAGCAGUGGGGAAUUUUGGACAAUGGGGGCAGCCCUGAUCCAGCAAUGCCGCGUGAGUGAAGAAGGCCUUCGGGUUGUAAAGCUCUUUUGUCAGGGAAGAAACACCGGCUCUAACGCAGUCCGGGAAUGACGGUACCUGAAGAAUAAGCACCGGCUAACUACGUGCCAGCAGCCGCGGUAA
rnacentral:rRNA from 1 species